rnacentral:rRNA from 1 species
GGUGAGUAACACGUGGGCAAUCUGCCCUUCACUCUGGGACAAGCCCUGGAAACGGGGUCUAAUACCGGAUAACACUCUGUCCCGCAUGGGACGGGGUUGAAAGCUCCGGCGGUGAAGGAUGAGCCCGCGGCCUAUCAGCUUGUUGGUGGGGUAAUGGCCUACCAAGGCGACGACGGGUAGCCGGCCUGAGAGGGCGACCGGCCACACUGGGACUGAGACACGGCCCAGACUCCUACGGGAGGCAGCAGUGGGGAAUAUUGCACAAUGGGCGAAAGCCUGAUGCAGCGACGCCGCGUGAGGGAUGACGGCCUUCGGGUUGUAAACCUCUUUCAGCAGGGAAGAAGCGAAAGUGACGGUACCUGCAGAAGAAGCGCCGGCUAACUACGUGCCAGCAGCCGCGGUAAUACGUAGGGCGCAAGCGUUGUCCGGAAUUAUUGGGCGUAAAGAGCUCGUAGGCGGCUUGUCACGUCGGAUGUGAAAGCCCGGGGCUUAACCCCGGGUCUGCAUUCGAUACGGGCUAGCUAGAGUGUGGUAGGGGAGAUCGGAAUUCCUGGUGUAGCGGUGAAAUGCGCAGAUAUCAGGAGGAACACCGGUGGCGAAGGCGGAUCUCUGGGCCAUUACUGACGCUGAGGAGCGAAAGC